rnacentral:rRNA from 1 species
AUUGAACGCUGGCGGUAUGCUUAACACAUGCAAGUCGAACGGUAACAGGCCUUCGGGCGCUGACGAGUGGCGGACGGGUGAGUAACGCGUAGGAAUCUGCCUCAUAGUGGGGGACAACGUGGGGAAACUCACGCUAAUACCGCAUACGCCCUACGGGGAAAGCGGGGGAGUCUUCGGAACCUCGCGCUAUGAGAUGAGCCUGCGUUAGAUUAGCUAGUUGGUAGGGUAAAGGCCUACCAAGGCGACGAUCUAUAGCUGGUCUGAGAGGACGAUCAGCCACACUGGGACCGAGACACGGCCCCAGACUCCUACGGGAGGCAGCAGUGGGGAAUAUUGGACAAUGGGCGCAAGCCUGAUCCAGCAAUACCGCGUGUGUGAAGAAGGCCUUAGGG